rnacentral:pre_miRNA from 1 species
AGCAAAUGAAUAUCUGUCCUGGAAUUACCUGAUUUCCAGGACAGAUAUUGAUUUGCUGA